rnacentral:rRNA from 1 species
UUAGAGUUUGAUCCUGGCUCAGGAUGAACGCUGGCGGCGUGCUUAACACAUGCAAGUCGAGCGAGAAAUUUACAAAUGAUUCUUCGGAUGAAUUUGUAAGUGGAAAGCGGCGGACGGGUGAGUAACGCGUGGGUAACCUGCCCUAUGCAGGGGGAUAACACACUGAAAAGUGUGCUAAUACCGCAUAAGACCACAGCAACGCAUGUUGCAGUGGUAAAAACUCCGGUAGCAUAGGAUGGACCCGUGUCUGAUUAGCUAGUUGGUGAGGUAAUGGCUCACCAAGGCAACGAUCAGUAGCCGACCUGAGAGGGUGAUCGGCCACAUUGGGACUGAGACACGGCCCAAACUCCUACGGGAGGCAGCAGUGGGGAAUAUUGCACAAUGGGGGAAACCCUGAUGCAGCGACGCCGCGUGAAGGAAGAAGGUUUUCGGAUCGUAAACUUCUAUCAGCAGGGAAGAUAGUGACAGUACCUGACUAAGAAGCCCCGGCUAACUACGUGCCAGCAGCCGCGGUAAUACGUAGGGGACAAGCGUUAUCCGGAUUUACUGGGUGUAAAGGGUGCGUAGGCGGCGAAGUAAGUCAGAUGUGAAAGCCCGAGGCUCAACCUCGGGACUGCAUUUGAAACUGCUUUGCUAGAGUGCAGGAGAGGAAAGCGGAAUUCCUAGUGUAGCGGUGAAAUGCGUAGAUAUUAGGAGGAACACCAGUGGCGAAGGCGGCUUUCUGGACUGUAACUGACGCUGAGGCACGAAAGCGUGGGGAGCGAACAGGAUUAGAUACCCUGGUAGUCCACGCUGUAAACGAUGAAUGCUAGGUGUCGGGGGUCGAACCUCGGUGCCGCAGCUAACGCAUUAAGCAUUCCACCUGGGGAGUACGAUCGCAAGAUUGAAACUCAAAGGAAUUGACGGGGGCCCGCACAGGCGGUGGAGCAUGUGGUUUAAUUCGAAGCAACGCGAAGAACCUUACCAAAUCUUGACAUCCUUCUGACCGUUCCUUAAUCGGAACCUCUCUUCGGAGCAGAAGUGACAGGUGGUGCAUGGUUGUCGUCAGCUCGUGUCGUGAGAUGUUGGGUUAAGUCCCGCAACGAGCGCAACCCUUAUCUUUAGUAGCCAGCAAUACGGUUGGGGACUCUAGAGAGACUGCCGGGGACAACUCGGAGGGAGGUGGGGAUGACGUCAAAUCAUCAUGCCCCUUAUGAUUUGGGCUACACACGUGCUACAAUGGCGGUGACAAAGGGAAGCGAAGUGGUGACACGGAGCAAACCCCAAAAAAGCCGUCCCAGUUCGGAUUGUAGUCUGCGACUCGACUACAUGAAGUUGGAAUCGCUAGUAAUCGCGAAUCAGAAUGUCGCGGUGAAUACGUUCCCGGGCCUUGUACACACCGCCCGUCACACCAUGGGAGUUGGAAGCGCCCGAAGCCGGUGACCAAACCGCAAGGAUGGAGCCGUCGAAGGUGAAGCCGAUGACUGGGGUGAAGUCGUAACAAGGUAACC